rnacentral:rRNA from 1 species
AUUGAACGCUGGCGGCAGGCCUAACACAUGCAAGUCGAGCGGAUGAAGGGAGCUUGCUCCUGGAUUCAGCGGCGGACGGGCGAGUAAUGCCUAGGAAUCUGCCUGGUAGUGGGGGAUAACGUCCGGAAACGGGCGCUAAUACCGCAUACGUCCUGAGGGAGAAAGUGGGGGAUCUUCGGACCUCACGCUAUCAGAUGAGCCUAGGUCGGAUUAGCUAGUUGGUGGGGUAAAGGCCUACCAAGGCGACGAUCCGUAACUGGUCUGAGAGGAUGAUCAGUCACACUGGAACUGAGACACGGUCCAGACUCCUACGGGAGGCAGCAGUGGGGAAUAUUGGACAAUGGGCGAAAGCCUGAUCCAGCCAUGCCGCGUGUGUGAAGAAGGUCUUCGGAUUGUAAAGCACUUUAAGUUGGGAGGAAGGGCAGUAAGUUAAUACCUUGCUGUUUUGACGUUACCAACAGAAUAAGCACCGGCUAACUUCGUC